GAUUUCUGGUGUGGCGCGGCCGGCCCGCCGCCCUCUGGGCGUGUGAGUGUCGGUGCGCGUCUACCAUCCUUCUAGAGAGCGGCCCUGCCAUUCACUUGGUCGGGGCCGCGAUCUGGAUCUUUUACUUUGAAAAAAUUAGAGUGUUCAAAGCAGGCUGGCGCCACUGAAUACAUUAGCAUGGAAUAAUACAAUAGGACUUUGGUUCUAUUUUGUUGGUUUCUAGGACUGAAGUAAUGAUUGAUAGGGAUAGUUGGGGGUGCUAGUAUUGAACGGCCAGAGGUGAAAUUCUUGGAUUCGUUCAAGACUAACUUAUGCGAAAGCAUU
rnacentral:rRNA from 1 species